rnacentral:rRNA from 1 species
UACGUAGGUGUCAAGCGUUGUCCGGAUUUAUUGGGCGUAAAGAGCGUGUAGGCGGCCUGAAAGGUCAGCUGUGAAAACUCGAGGCUCAACCUCGAGACGUCGGUUGAAACCAUCUGGCUAGAGUCCGGAAGAGGAGUGUGGAAUUCCCGGUGUAGCGGUGAAAUGCGCAGAUAUCGGGAAGAACACCCGUGGCGAAGGCGGCACUCUGGGACGGUACUGACGCUGAGACGCGAAAGCGUGGGGAGCGAACAGG